AACUUUCAACAACGGAUCUCUUGGUUCUCGCAUCGAUGAAGAACGCAGCAAAACGCGAUAUGUAAUGUGAAUUGCAGAAUUUUGUGAAUCAUCGAAUUUUUGAACGCACAUUGCGCCCUUUGGUAUUCCGAAGGGCAUACCUGUUUGAGCGUCAUUUCU
rnacentral:rRNA from 1 species